AUUGAACGCUGGCGGAAUGCUUUACACAUGCAAGUCGAACGGCAGCACGGACUUCGGUCUGGUGGCGAGUGGCGAACGGGUGAGUAAUGUAUCGGAACGUGCCCAGUCGUGGGGGAUAACGUAGUGAAAAUUACGCUAAUACCGCAUACGAUCUAUGGAUGAAAGCGGGGGAUCGCAAGACCUCGCGCGAUUGGAGCGGCCGAUAUCAGAUGAGGUAAUUGGUGGGGUAAAGGCCCACCAAGCCAACGAUCUGUAGCGGGUCUGAGAGGACGACCAGCCACACGGGAACUGGGACACGGUCCAGCCUCCUACGGGAGGCAGCAGUGGGGAAUUUUGGACAAUGGGCGAAAGCCUGAUCCAGCCAUUCCGCGUGCAGGAUGAAGGCCCUCGGGUUGUAAACUGCUUUUGUACAGAACGAAAAGGUUUCUACUAAUACUAGGAGCUCAUGACGGUACUGUAAGAAUAAGCACCGGCUAACUACGUGCCAGCAGCCGCGGUAA
rnacentral:rRNA from 1 species